GACGAACGCUGGCGGCGGGCUUAACACAUGCAAGUCGAACGGAAAGGCCCUGCUUUUGUGGGGUGCUCGAGUGGCGAACGGGUGAGUAACACGUGAGUAACCUGCCCUUGACUUGGGGAUAACUUCAGGAAACUGGGGCUAAUACCGGAUAGGAGCUCCUGCUGCAUGGUGGGGGUUGGAAAGUUUCGGCGGUUGGGGAUGGACUCGCGGCUUAUCAGCUUGUUGGUGGGGUAGUGGCUUACCAAGGCUUUGACGGGUAGCCGGCCUGAGAGGGUGACCGGCCACAUUGGGACUGAGAUACGGACCAGACUCGUACGGGAGGCAGCAGUGGGGAAUAUUGUACAACGGGCGGAAGCCUGAUGCAGCAACGCCGCGUGCGGGAUGACGGCCUUCGGGUUGUAAACCGCUUUCGCCUGUGACGAAGCGUGAGUGACGGUAAUGGGUAAAGAAGCACCGGCUAACUACGUG
rnacentral:rRNA from 1 species